UACGGGGGGUGCAAGCGUUAAUCGGAAUUACUGGGCGUAAAGCGCGCGUAGGCGGUUUGAUCAGUCGGAUGUGAAAUCCCCGGGCUCAACCUGGGAAUUGCAUUCGAUACUGUCAAGCUAGAAUAUGGGAGAGGCAAGUGGAAUUUCCGGUGUAGCGGUGAAAUGCGUAGAGAUCGGAAGGAACACCAGUGGCGAAGGCGGCUUGCUGGCCCAAUAUUGACGCUGAGGUGCGAAAGCGUGGGUAGCGAACAGG
rnacentral:rRNA from 1 species